CAGCUGCCCUGGGCAGUCUCAGGUCCACUCUUGCCUUACUCCAGCUGGGGCUGUUUCAGUACCAGACUCUGCCAGGGAUAUCAGUGGCAGUGGUCAGGUCCCUCUUUGUGCCCCUGCUCUCUGUCUAGCCCAUCCCCAUCAAUGGCAGCUGCCAUCCCAGGGCUCCAGCUAUGCCUUGCCCCAUUGCCUCCCAUGGUGCGAGGGGCAGUCAGUGGCAUGUACCUCACCCCCUUUUCUUUAAGCCUGGAUCCUACCACUGUCGCAUAGAAGACCAAAAUGACUGCUACAGACUAUACACAGAUACAGAUUACUUGGUGGCUGCUUAAUGACACAGUCAUCAUGACACUGAUUGGAAAAGGCUGAUUACGCAUUGUAAUGUACUAUGACCACCUGAAUUAGAGAAGACAAACUUCUGCAGAGCUACUUCAGCAGAAACAAGAAAAAGACCAUGAAGGAGGCAAGCCUGAAAAGAGUCUUCACAUCUGGGAAACAUAUUCUCAAAUGCUUUCUGUAUGAAUGUGGGGGAACUGGAAUCAGGAUUGCAGGGAAGGUAAAAGGAAGAACAAUAGUUUUAUUGACAUCAGGGUUUUGAAGAAGGUGAGAUGAAGAAUAACAGUGUUGCUGAUGUUCCUGUUGUCUGUGAAAGAGCCUGGAAUGCUCUUCUUAAAAAUUAGAGCUUGUUUACACACAAGUUGCACUAGUUUAAUUUAUAUUGAUGACAGAAUUAAGUUAAAUUGGUGCAUACCCUUGCAUAGACGCAGGUUUGUUUCUAAUUAAUGAAUACUGGUUGUAAUAUUUAACUCUUACCUGUAAGAUCAAUGUAAUUCUUAAAUUAACUCGAAAUGGUUUUAAAUCAAUUUAAAUACUACAACAGUUUAACUAAAAUCUUGUCAAAAUCACAUUAUUUCUUAAAACAGCACAGCUCCAAAGUGUUGAGAGCUUGGGAAAGUACCAUUCACAAAUUUGGGUUAUAAACGAUAAAGCAUUUUAGGCUUGAUUGCAAGACUUUGGGUGAGCACUUACACAACAGACCCAUUGGGCCCUUAAUAAAGUUUUUUCUGUUCAUGAAUGGCUUCUACCUAAAAAUCACCUUUUCACUCAUCCCAGAUGCCAUAUCUUAAAAGUAUAUCUUUACUGCACUUUUGCAUUAAGAAUACUUACUUAAUAAUAAUCUCCACUUAAACUGUUCGAGAUCUUUGGAUACUCUUUAUAUAUAAGAAUGAAGCCUUGUACCACUCAUAUUAUGGUGAUAAAUAUUAUUAUAGUUCUAAACAUUUUGCAGAGGAGUAAAAUGAAGAAAAGUGAGAUUUAAGUGAUUUGAAGAAAGUUGCACAGACAGCCUGUAUCAGAGCCAGAUCUUCUGAAUCUUUGACCUAAGUUUUAACCACAAGUCCAACCUUCUACUUUCCUCUCCAACCUUCUACUUUCCUCUACUAGCAAUAACUGUAAUUUACUAUCUAACUAUUGUUCUUCUUGGCAACUAGAUUCUACAGUGAUGAAAGCAUUAGAAAUAUUUUAAAAUAGAUCACUUGCACAGCACUGUAAAUUCACCCAUUUUUUUUAGAUACAAGAUAUGUCAUGUUUCUGAUCUAAGGUAGACAAGGCAAAAAAUGACAAGUCAAGGGAGAGACAGUUUCAAUAAGAUGGGGCAUAUAGAGAUGGUUGGGAAGAUUAAAGUAUGAAGGAUUCUUAGGAUAAAUGGAUUUUAAAAAAUGGAAUUUGAAGAAAGGGAGAAAAUCUCUUUUCCUUUCCACUUAGAGUCCUAUUUCAAGAACAAAAUGGCAUGAAAGGGGGGAGAAACAGAGUGUGAGGAAAAAGAAGAUGCAGCACACUGAAGAAAUACAGAGAUGGAGAAUGACUCCUAAGGAACUGAAAGCAGAGUGGAAAUUAAGGAAAGAAUAUUAAGUCCUUUGAAAGCAAGGAUGAGGUGCUUAUGUAUGAAACACAAAGAGUCAAGGAGCUGAUAAUACAUGAGGUGUCAGAGUGAUCUAUUAGGAUUUAAACUAUAUUAGGAGUUAGCAUGUUCACCCAUAACAUUGUGGAAGAAACCCUAAUUAAUAGGGCUGACAAAUGAUUAAAAAAACGAAUCAUAAUUAAUUGCAAGAUUUAAAAAAAAAAAGUUGCAAUUAACCACAACUUUAAUUGCACAGUUAAACAAUAGUUAGCACCCACCACCCAAGAGCCCAGAGCCUGUGUGCCCUGUGGCUCCUCCCCACACUACCAACAGCAAACAGCCCUAGCCCACUCCGUGCCUGCUCCAGACUCACCCCGGCUGGAGCCAACCAGCUGAAACACACGCGAACAGCCCUGCCCCUGGCCUGCCCCACACCUGCUUCAAACUCACCUGCCUAUGCUGAGAAGUGGCAGUGGCUAGGCAAAAGCUGCUCUUCAGUAGAAAGAAAAAGCAGCCUCUCUCCCUCACCACUGCUGCCCCUUCUUUCUGCAGCCACCUGGAGUCUGUGCCUGGGCUGCCCUGUAGCUCCUCUGCACUGCCACCACUGCCCUGCUGGGUGGCCUGGAAGCAGCAGUGAUGGGUGCAGAGAGGAGCCAUAGGGCAGCCCGGGUGCGGGCUCUGGGCAGCUGCAGCAAGAAGGGCCUGGCAGCGGCUGCCACUGCUCAGCAUGGGUGGGUGAAUCUGAAGCAGGUGUGGGGCAGGCCAGGUUCCGGCUGGUCCGGAGCUCAUCCACUCCGCUGGUCAAAAUGAUAUGUGCAAUUAACGUGAUUAAAAAAAUUAAUGUGUUGAUUUGUUUUUGUGUUAAUCAUGCAAGUUAAACUGUGAUUAACUGACAGCCCUACUUGUAUUUUCCUGAGGCUGACCAAGUAAAUGUAUUUGGAAAGAUUAAAAGUGAGGCAUCAGCCUUGCAUUAGGAGGAAAAGAGUCUUGAAGGUACUCAUUCCACUUGAGACCUGGAUGUUUACCAGGCCAGGGUGUUUACUAGCAACAGCCAUCACUUAUUUGUCUUCAAAGAAUCACUAAAACUACAGCCUUUUGUGGCCCAGGCUUUAAAUAUUUUUAUCUACUUAAUUCAUCAGCUAUUAAAAAAGCAGGCAUUCACAUGGUAGAAACAUGGCUAGUUCCUGAUGAAUGUACUGAUUUUAAACUCAUGCCUACUAACUGAAGCAAGUUACAUUCUCUGUGGAGUAUUGUUAUCCUUAAUACAAUCAAAGAGGUCUAGAUGGAUGGUGAAAUAAUUGUAAAGGCUUGCCCAACAGGCACAAUUAUUCACUUUAAUAGGUGAAUUCUCCUUCUGUUUUAACCACAUAAGGGAGUGAUUCGUAGGAUGAGAACUAAUAACGACUCCAUUGUCUUCCCUUUUCCCUCUAAGGCCUGAGUGCCUUAAUAGUUAACUAUACUAUUGCCAUCACUUCUCUUUUAAAUAAUGUGAUACAGAGGAGUCACAACUUGUAUCUGGUCAUCUGACUUGCAGAUACAAACAUGGGAUUGUAAGACACAUGACUUCAAUUCUAAAUGCUAGUAUUAAUAUCCUCCCAGCAACGGCAUGAUAGAUUACAGAGCGGUUUCAGUUUGUAGGAGUUACCAGGCCUCUGGCUAUAGUCCUGGCUUCAGUGUGGUCUUAGGUCUUUAUAAAUUCUGUUUCUACACUCUAAAGGACCCCAGUAGUCUCAGUGAAAUAACAACUGAGGUCAAUUUUCAAGCACACAACUUCAAUGAAAAUUAAUAAUGCAGAGCGGAAAAUAAU